rnacentral:rRNA from 1 species
UACGGGAGUGGCAAGCGUUAUCCGGAAUUAUUGGGCGUAAAGCGUCCGCAGGUGGCCCUGUAAGUCUGUCGUUAAAGCGUGGAGCUUAACUCCAUUUGAGCGAUGGAAACUACAGGGCUAGAGUGUGGUAGGGGCAGAGGGAAUUCCCGGUGUAGCGGUGAAAUGCGUAGAUAUCGGGAAGAACACCAGUGGCGAAGGCGCUCUGCUGGGCCAUCACUGACACUCAUGGACGAAAGCCAGGGGAGCGAAAGGG